AACGAACACUUUUCCUUUUGCACAAACGUGUAAAAAUUCGUUUGGAAAUAUUGUGAUUUGCAUGGUGUACGAAGAAAAACAAAAAUCUGGCUAGGAGCUGUAGACGUUCUUGCUAGGAGCUGCAUGAGCAAGCAGCAACCGUGCCUGCGUACACGAUACGACCACCAGCACGGCCUAGAACCAAGCUUGCAAGCGUUGGCAAGGCUCUACUUCCGCGGGAUCAGCUGUCACCAACUCCAAUCCGCGGGGUUACCGCGACCGACCGUACUCGCCGCCACCGUUUCAUACCACAAGAGGCGCUUACUACUCCUACUAGUAGUUAGUUGGUGGACCUGUUGCCAACUCAGCCGCCACCCAGCCGGCCAUCUUUUUUCCCAUCCAAGUUCUCAACUUCCCCUCCCAAACCCCCUCGCUCGAUUUCCUUACUCGGACCGACGGACCCUCCUCGGCUGUAUUCAAUUCCUCUUCCAUAAGUCUCCGAUCGGAUCUCCCGGCCGACGCACCAGCGCCGACGAUGGAGCCCCAGCCGCCCACGUCCACGGAGGAGGAGGCGGCGGCGGGGUCGACGACCCCUCGGUUUAGGCUCGGGAAGCAGUCGUCCCUGGCGCCCAACCGCGGCGGCGGCGGCGGUGAAAACGGCGCUGAGGCGUCGGGAGAGGCCGCCGGCGUCGCCAGUUUCCAGAUGAUGUACCUGGCCCACGAGGGCAACGCGGAGGGGAUACGCGAGCUCCUCGACGCCGGCGCCGACCCCAACUUCCGCGACUCCGACGGCCGCACGGCGUUGCAUAUCUCCGCCUGCGAGGGCCACGCCGAGGUCGUCGAGCUGCUGCUCGACCGCGGCGCGGAGGCCGUCGUCGAGGACCAGUGGGGAAGCACGCCUUUGGCAGAUGCGAUGCAUUACCAGAAUCAUGAUGUUAUCAAGAUCUUGGAGAAGCAUGGCUCGAACCAUAAGGUUGCUCCUAUGCAUGUUAACAGCGAUCGUGAUGUUCCUGAAUACGAGAUUGAUCCGGACGAACUUGACUUCACAAAUGGCAAAGAUUUAGCUAAGGGUACAUUUCGGAAAGCAACAUGGAGGGGUAUUCUGGUUGCUGUUAAAAAGCUGGAUGAUGAUGUACUUACUGACGAGAACAAAGUACAGGCAUUCAGAGAUGAGCUUGACGUUCUGCAACUAAUACGGCAUCCAAAUGUCGUUCAAUUUCUGGGUGCUGUAACACAAACCAACCCAAUGAUGAUUGUCAUGGAAUUUAUGCCGAAGGGUGAUUUGCGCAAACACUUGAAUAGGAAAGGAGCUCUGGAACCUUUAUAUGCAGUUAAAUUAGCUCUUGAUAUUGCAAGAGGAAUGAGUUACUUACAUGAGCAUAAACCCCAAGCUAUCAUCCACCGUGACCUUGAGCCUUCAAACAUAUUGAGGGAUGAUACCGGACAUUUGAAGGUGGCAGAUUUUGAUUUGUGUAAGAUGCUAAAGUGGAGAAGAAAAGUCAGAGAGGACAAACCAGUUACUUCUCCUGGCAAUGCCUGUAGGUAUGUAGCUCCAGAAGUCCUGCGUAAAGAGGAGUAUGAUAAUAAAGUUGAUGUCUUCUCGUUCGCUUUGAUACUUCAGGAGAUGAUUGAAGGAUGCCUACCUUUUCAUGAUAAGAAAAUUGAUGAAAUUGAGAAGGCCCAUAGUUCUAAAGAAAGGCCACCGUUUAGAGCUCCUGCAAAGCAUUAUGCCUAUGGGCUAAGAGAGUUGAUUGAGAAAUGCUGGAGUGAAAAUCCUGCUGAUAGGCCCAAUUUUAGAGUUGUCAUUGAUCGGUUGUCUGCCAUCCAAAUCGAACUAGCUCGCAGAAACCGUUGGAAGGUCAGACCUCUCAAGUGUUUCCUUAGCUUCGAAGGUUUGCGUAAAAAGGAUCGCAAUGAGGGCAGCACCAACCGCUCGUCACGCUCGUCGCGAUAGCAGCCAGCUGAGGUUGUUGAUGUCAUUUGGCGGAUCAUAUUCAUGAUUGAUAGGAAGUCAACUCACUGUACCAUUUUCUUUGUGUAUCUAAAUUCUCUCUGCAGAAGAAUGGUAUGGCAAGUGUUACUUCCCUGCUGAUCAGAACACCUGUUGUACACCAGAGGUUUAUCACUAAGCCAUCAAGGAAUUCAUGUACAGAUUGAUCUCUUCGGUUUAUAGUUUGCUUUCAGUGAUAGCAAAGCAACUCCUCUUAAGGAAUGUAAUCUCACGUUGUUGUGGUGUGGCACUCUUUUGAGGAAUGGUGUUUGCUCAUGUUAUCAAUCUUUCUGAAGGGCAAUCUGUGUACUGAAGACUGCACG
rnacentral:rRNA from 1 species